rnacentral:rRNA from 1 species
CCCUUAGAUGUUCUGGGCCGCACGCGUGCUACACUGAGUGGAUCAGCGGGUCAGGUUGCGCGAAAGUGUUUCCUAAUCUUGAAAUCCGCUCGUGAUGGGGAUUGACGGUUGCAAUUUUCCGUCAUGAACGAGGAAUACCUUGUAAGCGCGGGUCAACAUCCCGCGCUGAAUACGUCCCUGCCCUUUGUACACACCGCCCGUCGCUCCUACCGAUUGAGUGGUCCGGUGAGGCUUUGGGAUCUGAGCGGAAAGAGCGUUUCGCUGUUUCUGCCCGGAAAACUCAGUCGAACCUUAUCAUUUAGAGGAAGGAGAAGUCGUAACA